UACGUAGGGUGCGAGCGUUAAUCGGAAUUACUGGGCGUAAAGAGUGCGUAGGCGGUUGCUGAAGUCCGCUGUGAAAGCCCCGGGCUCAACCUGGGAAUGGCAGUGGAAACUAGGCGACUUGAAUCAGGCAGAGGGGGGUGGAAUGCCGCGUGUAGCAGUGAAAUGCGUAGAGAUGCGGCGGAACACCGAUGGCGAAGGCAGCCCCCUGGGCUGAGAUUGACGCUCAGGCACGAAAGCGUGGGGAGCAAACAGG
rnacentral:rRNA from 1 species